CUUAGCUGCCGGCCCCUCCAGAAGUCUCUGCACGGGGAUGAUCAGCUGACCCAGAAACCGCUUGAUGAUUGGUCGGCUUUUGGCGAACUUGUCCUUUACUUCAAUCUCCAACACGUCAGUCAUCAGAGCCACAAAGCAAUGACAGUCCUUCACUCUGGGGGUUCCAUUGUAAAACUGCUUGGAUAUUUACCAAUAGACCUCUCCGUGCCACACAGGGUUGAUGGUGUUAGCUAUGAUGGAGGAUCGUCUCUCCUGGCCGUGGUGGCUGAACUUGGGGAGGCCGCUCCUCUUCCCAGGCUGGAUGGACAUCUUCAGGCAACCCAACACAUAUUCCUGAUGGCAGCAGCUCACAGGAGACAUGUCCUGGGUCACAGCAGGGCCUCCUGGGACUGCACAAGAAGUCAUUCAUCGUGUCAGAUAAACUGAGCUCAAUUUCAACCAGCUGAUCUUCUAAGCUAAAGGAGCCACAAAGAAGGAGAACAAAGGAGCAACCAGCCUCGCUGCCUGUAUCCAUCCAUGAAGCUGUGGCACACUUCUUUGGCGUCGCUGGAGAAGGCACUUCAGUGUUCCCAGGCUUCACUCGUCAUCAUUCAGGCAGACGGUGGAGGGGGUGAUGACAGAGCGAUCCGACAAUCCACAGGGAGGACAGGGGUGGAGGAAGUUGGAGACCUAUAACAGAGAGAGAAAGACGGAGGAGGAGAAAAUAAAGCAUUACCACAAGGAUUCAAUCUGCAGCUGGAGCCCUGGCUGCCAGCUCACUCUGCAGCCAUGUUUCCAUCCAGCUGUCCAACAGAAUUCAACUCAAGAGAUUUCUGCGUGAAUAAAACACAGAUUAGGUGUUUCCAUCAGCUGGGUUAAAGAUGGGCUUCACUACAGGGCCUUACAGAGGUUCCCAACUUCAUCAUAAGCCUGGAAUGACUUCACACCAAGCUGUCAUGGUUGUGGUUGUGGAUUACAGGUAAUUAUCGCUGUUGUUCCUGCUGUUCCUGUUAACCCACACAAACACACAGGGGCCCCUUGCCUUUUGUGCAGCUGACGAGUCUUGUGACAGUGUGUCACUGUCGUACAU